rnacentral:rRNA from 1 species
UACGAAGGGGGCUAGCGUUGCUCGGAAUCACUGGGCGUAAAGGGUGCGUAGGCGGGUCUUUAAGUCAGGGGUGAAAUCCUGGAGCUCAACUCCAGAACUGCCUUUGAUACUGAAGAUCUUGAGUCCGGGAGAGGUGAGUGGAACUCCGAGUGUAGAGGUGAAAUUCGUAGAUAUUCGGAAGAACACCGGUGGCGAAGGCGGCUCACUGGCCCGGUACUGACGCUGAGGUGCGAAAGCGUGGGGAGCAAACAGG